GCGAAAGGGAAUCAGGUUAAUAUUCCUGAACCAAGUAUCGAAGUACGGUAACGUAAACUGUCCCGGAGACGGGUAGAGUUUUCUUUUCCUUUGAAUCGAGUUGUUCGGAGACGAGGAAAGCUUGCCAUGUUUUGAUGGUAACUGGCCCAUGAAAAUCCGGGUGAGAUAUUUUUGAUACUUGGCCGUACCGAAACCGCAUCAGGUCUCCAAGGUGAGUAGCCUCUGGUUAUGGAAUAAAAUUGGUAAGGGAAGUCGGCAAAAUAGAUCCGUAACUUUGGGAAAAGGAUUGGCUCUAAGGGUGUGUGGAAGGAGUUUCCUCAGUGGCACCAACUUAGAACUGUUACUACAAGGGGAAUCCGACUGUCUAAUUAAAACAAAGCUUUGCGAAAGUGAUACUUCAUUUUGACGCAAAGUGAUUUCUGCCCAGUGCUUUGACUGUCAAAUUGUUGAAAAACAACCAAGCACAUGUUAACGGCGGAGGUAACUAUGACCUUCUUAAGAUAGCCAAAUGCCUCGUCAUCUAAUUAGUGACGUGCAUGAAUGGAUCAACGUGAUUCCCACUGUCCCUACCUUUUAUCCAGCGAAACCACAGUCAAGGGAACGGGCUUGACUUGGACAGCGGGGAAAGAAGACCCUGUUGAGCUUGACUCUAGUUUGUUGUUGUGAGGCGACUCAAGAGAUGUAGUUAUAAGUGGGACGACGGUGAAAUACCACUGCUUUUGACGUCGCCACACUCAGCGGGUGAUUGCGCAAAAGCGACAGCAACAAAUGGGGAGUUUGACUGGGGCGGUACAUCCUUAAAAAUGCAACGAGGGUGUCCUAAGGCGGGCUCAUGGUGGACGGAAACCACCAGUAGAGCGAAAGGGCAAAAGCCCGCUUGAUUCAAACCUUCAGUAGUGGUGAGAACCGCGAAAGCGUGGCCUAUCGAUCCUUCUCAGAGUCUGAGGACAGGGGUGUCAGAAAAGUUACCACAGGGAUAACUGGCUUGUGGC
rnacentral:rRNA from 1 species